rnacentral:rRNA from 1 species
AUUGAACGCUGGCGGCAGGCCUAACACAUGCAAGUCGAACGGUAGCACAGGAGAGCUUGCUCUCUGGGUGACGAGUGGCGGACGGGUGGGUAAUGCAUGGGGAGCUGCCCAAUCGAGGGGGAUACCAGCUGGAAACGGCUGCUAAUACCGCAUACGCCCUGAGGGGGAAAGGUGGGGACCUUCGGGCCUACCGCGAUUGGAUGCACCCAUGUGGGAUUAGCUAGUUGGUGAGGUAACGGCUCACCAAGGCGACGAUCUCUAGCUGGUCUGAGAGGAUGACCAGCCACACUGGAACCGAGACACGGUCCAGACUCCUACGGGAGGCAGCAGUGGGGAAUAUUGCACAAUGGGGGAAACCCUGAUGCAGCCAUGCCGCGUGUGUGAAGAAGGCCUUCGGGUUGUAAAGCACUUUCAGUGGGGAGGAAGGGGUGAUGCCUAAUACGCAUCAUCAUUGACGUUACCCACAGAAGAAGCACCGGCUAACUCCGUGCCAGCAGCCGCCGUAA